ensembl:lncRNA
GGCAGUUAUGGGGUGGGGGGGGUUGAGGGUGGGGUAUGGGGGGUCUAUAGGGUCAGUUAUGGGGUGAUGGGUAUUUUGGGGGCACUUAUGGGGUGAUGUAGCGUGGGGUUGUGGGGUAUAGGGGCAGUUAUGGGGUGAUGUGGGGUGGGGCAGGGUUAUGGGGUGGGGACGUAUGGGGGUGUAUGGGGUCAUGUGGGGACAUAUGGGGAUAUAUGGGAUCAUAUGGGGUCAUAUGGGGAUGUAUGGGGUCAUAUAGGGACAUAUGGGGACAUACUGGGAUAUAUGGGGUCAUAUAGGAACAUAUGGGGACAUACAGGGAUAUAUGGGAUCAUAUAAGGAUGUAUCGGCACGUAUGGGGAUAUAUGGGGUCGUAUAGGGACGCAUGGGGACGUAUGGGGAUAUAUAGGGCCAUACAGGGACGUAUGGGAACAUAUGGGGCCAUAUACGGACGUAUGCAGAUAUAUGGGGUCAUAUAGGGACGUAUGGGGACAUAUGGGGUCAUAUAGAGUUGUAUGGGGACAUAUGGGGAUAUGUGGGGUCAUAUAAGCACAUAUAGGGAUAUAUGGGGUUAUAUAAGAACGUAUGGGGCCAUAUGGGGCUGUAUGAGACCAUAUGAGGCCAUAUGAGGCUGUAUGGGGCUACAUGGGGCUUUAUGGGGUCUUAUGAGGUCUUAUGGGGCUAUAUGGGGCCUUACGAGGUUUUAUGGGGCCGUAUGGGGCCAUAUGGGACCCUAUGGGGCCUUACGUGACUAUAUGGGGCCUUAUAGGGCCAACUGGGGCUGUAUGGAGCCGUUUGAGGCCUUACGUGGCUGUAUGGGGACGUAUGGGGCUAUAUGGGGCCAUAUGGGGCUGUAUGGGUUUGUAUGGGGCCUUAUGGGGCCGUAUGGGACUGCAUGGGGCCUUAUGGGGCUGUAUGGGGCCGUAUUGGCCAUAUGAGACCAAAUGGGGUCGUAUGGGGCUGUAUGGGACCAUGUGGGGCCAUAUGGGUUCGUAUGGGGCCAAAUGGGGCCAUAUGAGGCUAUAUGGGGCCAUAUGGGGCCGUAUGGGGCCAUAUGGGGCCGCAUGGGGCCGUAUGGGACUGUAUGGUGCUAUAUGGGGCCAUAUAGGACUAUAUGGUGCUAUAUAAGGCCAUAUGGGGCCAUAUGAGGCUAUAUGGGGCUAUAUGGGGCCGUAUGGGGCUCUAUGGGGCCACAUGAGGCCAUAUGGGGCCAUACAGGGCCUUAUGGGGCUCUAUGUGGCCAUAUAGGGCUGUACGGAGCCAUAUGGGGCCAUAUUGGGCUGUACGGAGCCAUAUGGGACUGUAUGGGGCUAUAUGGGGCCAUAUGGGGCUAUACAGGUUCGUAUAGGGCCUUAUGGGGCUUUAUUGGGGCUACAUUGGUUCAUAUGGGGCUGUAUGGGGCUAUAUGGGGCCAAAUGGGGCCAAAUGGGGCCAUAUGAGGCUAUAUGGGGCCAUAUGAGGCCGUAUGGAGCCAUAUGGGGCCGCAUGGAGCCAUAUGGGGCCGCAUGGGACUGUAUGGGGCUAUAUGGGGCUGUAUGGGGCCAAAUGGGGCCAUAUGGGGCCAUACGGAGCCAUAUGGGACUGUAUGGGGCUAUAUGCGGCCAUAUAGGACUAUAUGGGCCCAAAUGGGGCCGUAUGAGGCCAUAUGGGGCCAAAUGGGGCCGUAUGGGGCCAAAUGGGGCCAUAUGAGGCUAUAUGGGGCCGUAUGGGGCUCUAUGGGGCCAUAUAGGACUAUAUGGGCCCAAAUGGGGCCGUAUGGGGCCAGAUGGGACUAUAUGGGGCCAAAUGGGGCCAUAUGAGGCUAUAUGGGGCCGUAUGGGGCUAUAUGGGGCCAUAUGGGCUAUAUGGGGCCAUAUAGG